GGGUCAGUAGGUUGGUCGUGCCACCGGUACGUACUGGUCUCACUGAUUCCUCCUUCCUGAAGAACCGUAAUGCCAUUAAUUUGGUGCUGCGGGGAAACAGGACUGUUACUUUGAAAAGAUUAGAGUGUUUAAAGCAAGCUAACGCUUGAAUACAUUAGCAUGGAAUAAUGAAAUAGGACGAUCGAUCCUAUUUUGUUGGUUUCUAGGAUUGACGUA
rnacentral:rRNA from 1 species